AAGCCGUAACUGACGCUGAGGCUCGAAAGUGCGGGGAUCAAACAGGAUUAGAUACCCUGGUAGUCCGCACUGUAAACGAUGAUUACUCGCUGCUGGGAGGUAACUUUCAGUGGCUAAGCGAAAGCGAUAAGUAAUCCACCUGGGGAGUACGCCGGCAACGGUGAAACUCAAAGGAAUUGACGGGGGCCCGCACAAGCGGAGGAGCAUGUGGUUUAAUUCGAUGAUACGCGAGGAACCUUACCAGGGCUUGAAAGUUAGUGACCGGUGGUGAAAGCCACUUUUCAGCAAUGACACGAAACUAGGUGCUGCAUGGCUGUCGUCAGCUCGUGCCGUGAGGUGUUGGGUUAAGUCCCGCAGCGAGCGCAACCCCUACCAUUAGUUGCCAGCGGUUCGGCCGGGGACUCUAAUGGAACUGCCCGCGCAAGCGGAGAGGAAGGUGGGGAUGACGUCAAGUCAUCACGGCCCUUACGUCCUGGGCUACACACGUGCUACAAUGGCCACUACAGAGGGCAGCUACCUGGCAGCAGGAUGCAAAUCUUCAAAAGUGGUCUCAGUUCGGAUUGGAGUCUGCAACUCGACCUCAUGAAGCUGGAUUCGCUAGUAAUCGCGCAUCAGCAAUGGCGCGGUGAAUACGUUCCCGGGCCUUGUACACACCGCCCGUCAAGCCAUGAAAGCUGGGAGUAUCUAAAGUCGGUAGCCGCAAGGCGCCGCCUAGGGUAAAACUGGUGACUGGGGCUAAGUCGUAACAAGGUAGCCGUACCGGAAGGUGCGGCUGGAUCACCUCCUU
rnacentral:rRNA from 1 species